GGUCUUUGAGCCUGACCCAAAGUUCAUUGAAGUUAAUGGGAGUUUUUCCAUUGACUUCAACAGGCUUUGGAUUAGGCCCUAAAUCC
rnacentral:pre_miRNA from 1 species